UACGUAGGUGGCAAGCGUUGUCCGGAUUUAUUGGGUUUAAAGGGUGCGUAGGCGGCUUUGUAAGUCAGUGGUGAAAUAUGGCAGCUCAACUGUCAAGGUGCCAUUGAUACUGCAGAGCUUGAGUACAGAUGAGGUAGGCGGAAUUGACGGUGUAGCGGUGAAAUGCUUAGAUAUCGUCAAGAACACCUAUAGCGAAGGCAGCUUACUAGGCGUGAUAACUGACGCUGAGGCACGAAAGUGUGGGGAUCAAACAGG
rnacentral:rRNA from 1 species